GAUGAAGAACGUAGCGAAAUGCGAUACUUGGUGUGAAUUGCAGAAUCCCGUGAACCAUCGAGUCUUUGAACGCAAGUUGCGCCCGAAGCCAUUAGGCCGAGGGCACGCCUGCCUGGGCGUCACACGUCGUUGCCCCCCCAUCUACUCCUUCGGGAUUGCGGGGGGCGGAUGAUGGCCUCCCGUGCGCCUCGUCGCGCGGUUGGCAUAAAUGCCAAGUCCUCGGCGACGCACGCCACGACAAUCGUUGGUUGCGAAACCUCGGUUGCCCGUCGUGUGCGGUCGUCGCGCAUCGAGGGCUCGAAAAAAUUGCCGGGCUCCGGCUCGGCUUUCAACGCGACCCCAGGUCAGGCGGGGUUACCCGCUGAAUUUAAGCAUAUCAAUAAGCGGAGGA
rnacentral:misc_RNA from 1 species